rnacentral:rRNA from 1 species
AGAGUUUGAUCCUGGCUCAGGAUGAACGCUAGCGGCAGGCUUAACACAUGCAAGUCGAGGGGCAGCAUAAUGGAUAGCAAUAUCUAUGGUGGCGACCGGCGCACGGGUGCGUAACGCGUAUGCAACCUACCUUUAACAGGGGGAUAACACUGAGAAAUUGGUACUAAUACCCCAUAAUAUCAUAGAAGGCAUCUUUUAUGGUUGAAAAUUCCGAUGGUUAGAGAUGGGCAUGCGUUGUAUUAGCUAGUUGGUGGGGUAACGGCUCACCAAGGCGACGAUACAUAGGGGGACUGAGAGGUUAACCCCCCACACUGGUACUGAGACACGGACCAGACUCCUACGGGAGGCAGCAGUGAGGAAUAUUGGUCAAUGGACGCAAGUCUGAACCAGCCAUGCCGCGUGCAGGAAGACGGCUCUAUGAGUUGUAAACUGCUUUUGUACGAGGGUAAACGCAGAUACGUGUAUCUGUCUGAAAGUAUCGUACGAAUAAGGAUCGGCUAACUCCGUGCCAGCAGCCGCGGUAAUACGGAGGAUUCAAGCGUUAUCCGGAUUUAUUGGGUUUAAAGGGUGCGUAGGCGGUUUGAUAAGUUAGAGGUGAAAUACCGGGGCUCAACUCCGGAACUGCCUCUAAUACUGUUGAACUAGAGAGUAGUUGCGGUAGGCGGAAUGUAUGGUGUAGCGGUGAAAUGCUUAGAGAUCAUACAGAACACCGAUUGCGAAGGCAGCUUACCAAACUAUAUCUGACGUUGAGGCACGAAAGCGUGGGGAGCAAACAGGAUUAGAUACCCUGGUAGUCCACGCAGUAAACGAUGAUAACUCGUUGUCGGCGAUACACAGUCGGUGACUAAGCGAAAGCGAUAAGUUAUCCACCUGGGGAGUACGUUCGCAAGAAUGAAACUCAAAGGAAUUGACGGGGGCCCGCACAAGCGGAGGAACAUGUG